rfam:Felis catus isolate Cinnamon breed Abyssinian chromosome E2, whole genome shotgun sequence.
GCUUGGGUGGCUCAGUCGGUUGAGCGUCCGACUUCAGCUCAGCUCAUGAUCUCGCGCUUCGUGGGUUCGAGCCCCGCGUCGGGCU